ACAAAAAUAAUAUGAAACCUACAGUUCACGACACAUCGCAUAGGAAUUUAAAAUAAAUAUUAGGCCUAUAGGUUUAAUACAUAUUUCUUAGAAUAUAGAAAUUUAGAUCUAGUGUUCUGGUUAGUAGUUAUUUCAUGUUUAUUAGAAUAUAGUCUAGAUUCUAGAAUCUAAUUAUACGGCUGCAUAAAAAGAAAACCCAUCUGCCAUCUAGAUCUAGAGAAGCGGAGGUAAGAAGGUUAAAUUAGUAAUUUACAUGAUUUUUAUUGUAGUUUCACUGUUUGUUAGGCCCAAUUAUUAAAUCUUUAGAUCAGAGGUCCAGCUUGAUCAUGUGUGGUAUCUAUUGUGGUGCAUUGGAAUGAAAAGCCCACAUACUUAAAUAUAGAAUCUAGUAGGCCUAUACUAUAACUGUACUGCCCUAUACUUUAAAUUUGUUACCACAAGAAAAAAGCCUAUUUACUAUUAUUAGUUAUAAUUAAAUUAAAUUGAAAUAUUUGUUUAUCUUUAUAGUUUAUAGUGAAUGCAUGCUAAUGAGCAUUAUUCAAGCUGCUGUUAUAUUUAGGCUUAUAGGCCUAUAUACUAAAAGUAUAUACUCUAUAGCUUAGGCUAUAUACUAUAGACUAUAUAUUAUAUACCAAUAUUGUGCAUAAAACUUAAAGCAUGUAAGCAUACACAAUAAUAAUUAUCAUUAGACCUAUAGUAACUAAGACUCAUACUAUUUAGUACUACUUUAAUACUACCUUUAAACUAUUAGGCAUAAUGAAAUAAUGAUUAAUAAUUUCAGUGUUUUCCGCACUCAAGAGGAAGGAGGUUGCAGGGAACUUAGAGACUAAUCUUUGCCAACAUACUGGAUUUCUGGUGAUGACAAUAGGAGCAAAUAGUAUGCGGCUCAGUUAAUACUAAAAACAAUUGAUUUUAGUAAUUAGUGGACUAUGAGUGUGUGUUUGGUCAUCCAGAUUUCAUAACUACAACUGAUGUUCAAUUACAAGGGAUAUUAAUCAGUCUCCGUGGACUAUACACUGUGCCUAGUUUCAUCCUCAGAGACUGAUGUGUAAGCUUAAAGUAAAGACAUCAAAUCAAAGUAUCAGCUAUCAAGAGGAAGAACAUUCAAAAUCAUAUUGUGAUACACAAAUCAAGCAAGUCUAUAACCAGCAAUAUGAUACAGGCCAAGAAAAAGCUGGAUAUUUGAUUGGAAGGGUGGCACAAAAAAGAUGGGUUAUCACUAGGGAAACAAGCUCGGAAUACAGUUCACUGUUGGGACAUCAAGCCAAAUACUUCUAAACUUAUUUGAAUCAUUUUUGCUGUUUAUUAUAAUUCAUCCAAUUGUCUUAUUAAAUAUAUAAAUUUAUAUAUAUACACAAUUCCUAAUAUAGAAUUUCUAAAAAUGUUUUAUUAUAAUAUUUAAAAAUGAAACAAACAUGUUCCCAGAACACAGCCACAUAAUGUCAACAUGUUCCCAGAACACAGCCACAUAAUGUCAACAUGUUCCCAGAACACAGCCACAUAAUGUCAACAUGUUCCCAGAACACAGCCACAUAAUGUCAACAUGUUCCCAGAACACACAAAAUGGCAACAUGUUCCCAGAACACAGCCAAACAAUGUCAACAUGUUCCAUGAACUCACAAAAUGGCAACAUGUUCCCAGAACACACAAAAUGUCAUUAUGUGCCCAGAAUACACAAAAUGGCAACAUGUUCCCAGAACACACAAAAUGGCAACAUGUGCCGAGAACACAAAAAAUGACAACAUGUGCCGUUAACAAUACUUCACUUUUUCCUUAACAAUUUUACAAGCAGGUAAUAAAGCCAUAAAUCUUUACUGUGGAUAUAGCCAAUAAAUAGGGUAACCUUCACUUUAUGCAAUUUGUAGUUUUCAAUGCCUGUCCCAUGCAUAGUAUUUAGCUUAGUGUUUUGGGCCUUGCUUCAUUUACUCAAUAAAUUAUAUAGGCAUGAGAAUUUUCAUUUUAAUCUGCAAAAGCUACAUUCUGUACAUUAUUAUUUUCAAACUACAUCAUAUAUUUUUCUCCUCUCUGAUAAAAAAUAUUCCUCAUAUUGUUUGUGUCAAGUAUUUUAUUUUUAUCUAUGCAAUGCUAUAUUCCUAUUUUAUAAUAAUUACUUUUAUACAAAUUCUUUUGAAAACUGUUCUUUAUUGAUUUGUAUCAUUUUCUUUAUUUCUGAAAAAUAAAACUUUGUUUGGGAAUCC